CGUGCUCCACCUGCUGUGGGCAGAUGAAGUGGAUAUGACUAUCGAUCCCGCCCGCCGUGACGAUUUUGCCCUCGCCGGCAAUCACCUCAGUGCAGCUGCCCACGACCAUGCCCGGCAUCACACCAUCCAUGACAUCCGGAUUGCCGGCCUUGCCAAUGCCCACAAUCAUGCCGUCCCUGACGCCAAUGUCUGCCUUGAAAAUACCCGUCCAGUCCAGCACGAGCGCAUUCGUCACCACCACAUCCAACGCCUCGCCAUCCGGCCGGCCUGUGGCCUGGCCCAUUCCGUCGCGCAG
rnacentral:sRNA from 1 species